UACACUCAAUAAAUGGUGUUUUACUUGUUCACUCUGUUCAACUAAUAUGCAUUAAUGUUCCACAGUGUUGCAGGCGUUGUGUUGAUGUUGCAGCUACAGCCGGUUUGAUUUCUGGCCUUCGGGGAUCUCACAUACAGAGACUGAAGCAGGAAAAUAUGACGACACGUGAUCCACUGGAACAGAGGCUCCGUGAAUUCAUGCUGGUGCUUUUCUUUGGUUCUGCUCACUGCUGUAUCACAAGCCCUUGGAACAACGGCUGCACACAGUAAAGACAAAGAAAAUCUUCUGACGCAUAGAGCUGUGUUUUGACUGCCUGAUGAUUUAGACAAUUACAAAGAACACGGACUUUGGAGUCACCUAGAACUUAGUCUGAAUGCUGCUCUGUUAUUUGCUACUUGUAUAAUCAUUGGCAAGAUAUUGAUCUGAGUGUGAGUUUCCUCAUCUAUAAAAUGGAGGUAAGUAUAUAUGUAUAUAAGUGAGAGAGAGAGAGAGAGUAAGAGAGAGAGAGAGAGAUUGUGUGCCUACCAUUCACAGAUAGGGAAUAAAUAGUAGCUUGUCAUAAAAAUGCAAGUUUUAGGAUGUUUUGCCCUUAAAAAACUUUCUUUUAUUCUGGGGUAAGUAAAGAAUAAAACCCUGAGCUCUGGCUUGUCCUGAGAAGUCAAAAGUGGGCCAUUCUCAAACCAGAUUAACUAGCCUAAGCUAUUUUAUCCCUUCUUCAAACAACCUAAGUUUCAUUUAACAUAUUUUAAAAAUCAUCCAAGUCUCUUUAAGUUGUGGAAUGCCAUAUCAGUUG
rnacentral:lncRNA from 1 species